rnacentral:rRNA from 1 species
UGGGGAAUUUUGCACAAUGGGGGAAACCCUGAUGCAGCGACGCCGCGUGAUUUAGAAGACCUUCGGGUCGUAAAGCUCUUUUAUAUGGGAAGAAAAUGACAGUACCAUACGAAUAAGGACCGGCUAAUUACGUGCCAGCAGCCGCGGUAAUACGUAAGGUCCGAGCGUUGUCCGGAAUCAUUGGGCGUAAAGGGUACGUAGGCGGAUAAGCAAGUUAGAAGUGAAAUCCUAUAGCUCAACUAUAGUAAGCUUUUAAAACUGCUCAUCUUGAGGUAUGGAAGGGAAAGUGGAAUUCCUAGUGUAGCGGUGAAAUGCGCAGAUAUUAGGAGGAAUACCGGUGGCGAAGGCGACUUUCUGGCCAUAUACUGACGCUGAGGUACGAAAGCGUGGGUAGCAAACAGG